rnacentral:rRNA from 1 species
UACGUAGGGUCCGAGCGUUGUCCGGAAUUAUUGGGCGUAAAGAGCGUGUAGGCGGCCAGGUAGGUCUGCUGUGAAAACUCGAGGCUCAACCUCGAGAUGUCGGCGGAAACCAUCUGGCUAGAGUCCGGAAGAGGAGAGUGGAAUUCCUGGUGUAGCGGUGAAAUGCGCAGAUAUCAGGAAGAACACCCGUGGCGAAGGCGGCUCUCUGGGACGGUACUGACGCUGAGACGCGAAAGCGUGGGGAGCGAACAGG